rnacentral:rRNA from 1 species
GUAGGUGGCAAGCGUUGUCCGGAAUUAUUGGGCGUAAAGCGCGCGCAGGCGGUCCUUUAAGUCUGAUGUGAAAGCCCACGGCUCAACCGUGGAGGGUCAUUGGAAACUGGGGGACUUGAGUACAGAAGAGGAAAGCGGAAUUCCAAGUGUAGCGGUGAAAUGCGUAGAGAUUUGGAGGAACACCAGUGGCGAAGGCGGCUUUCUGGUCUGUAACUGACGCUGAGGCGCGAAAGCGUGGGGAGCAAACAGGAUUAGAUACCCUGGUAGUCCACGCCGUAAACGAUGAGCGCUAAGUGUUAGGGGGUUUCCCGCCCCCCUUAGUGCUGCAGCUAACGCAUCAAGCACUCCGCCUGGGGAGUACGGCCCGCAAGGCUG